ACAGAGGGUGCAAACGUUGUUCGGAAUUACUGGGCGUAAAGCGUGUGUAGGCGGCCGCGUAAGUCGGAUGUGAAAGCCCUGGGCUCAACCCAGGAAGUGCACUCGAUACUGCGUGGCUCGAGUACUGGAGAGGUUGGUGGAAUUCUCGGUGUAGAGGUGAAAUUCGUAGAUAUCUGGAGGAACACCGGUGGCGAAGGCGGCAUCCUGGACCGGCACUGACGCUGAGGCGCGAAAGCCAGGGGAGCAAACGGGA
rnacentral:rRNA from 1 species